rnacentral:lncRNA from 1 species
GUAAGGGAAGAAAGAAUGUGGAAGAUUGGGCUUAGAAGAGGUGAACAUAUCUCUUGUGCACACUACAUUUGCUAGAGUUGGUUCAUAGUCUUAUCUAACUGCAGGGAAGACUGAGAAAUGUAGUCUAGCUGUGUGCCUGAGAUUAAAAGGAAUUUGAGUUUAGAGAGCACACGGUAUUGCCCUUGUUACACUAAUAAUAAAGGGUAAUUGUGCUGUGACAAAAAUCAACACAGGAAU